UUUUUUAAGAUUUUUUACUGAAGCAAUAACGUCAGGAACCGUUGUCUUUCUGAUUUUGUUCAGCAUUUGUCACUAUUUUGUUUUUAGGACUAACCAUGGAGGGGUGUGAAAAUGGGUGGACGUUUCACAAACACCUCUGCUAUCAGUUGAACUCUGACCCCUACGGCACCCUGACCCACGGGGAGGCGAUCGCAGUGUGCAUGGCCAAGGGUGCGGAUCUGACAAGUGUCUGGGGCAAAAAGGAGAGAGACUUCAUUGCGCAGGAACUUCUCAGCACAAGCAAAGAGGAGAGUGCGUGGAUAGGACUGAGACAGGAUUACCGUGGCAACAAGUACGUGUGGACGUGGUCGGACGGGUCACCGGCGGACGAAGCCAGCUGGAAAUAUGGUCUGUCAUAUAGAAUGAGUUUACAAAAUACCUGAUUUUACCUGAAUUUAUCUUGAAGAUGGUUUAUGUAUAGAGAAAUUGAUGGAAACCCCUUCCCGAUAUCACGGUUUUGACUUAAUCAGUAUGUUUUGCUAACGUUGUAUAGUACUUUGAGAUGAUAUGUGUAUGGGGAGGGGUAUUGCCUCCUGUUGUCAAUAAGAUCUGUGAAAAAACCCUUGGCUCAAUCAAUGACUACCGAUACAUGAAUAUAAAACAAUUUAAAAACGUGUUAGCUGUUUAUAAUAGUUUGAAUAAAAAGGUUUUUUAACUCAAUUUUUAGUGGGGUUUUCUAUAUUCGAGAUACGAUAUUGAAGGUGAAGUUUAAGAGUAACUUGUUGGGUUUUUUUUUCUAUAAAUCAGGAAACACUGACGACUUCACCGGACUGUGCGGGAUCCUCCGGACGGACGGGACAGAGGAUCUCCGGAACUGCACGGACCCGCUCCGGACUUUUAUCUGCAAGAAGAGUUCAGUAUUUUUAAAAAGACCCAAACUUGAUUUAUUGCUCGAAGUUGAUAAUUGCAAUAAAAAAAAUUACGGUAGGAGAGAGGGGGGGGGGGGGGGCUAGUAAGUAAAAGAAGAGUGGAUUUGAUGAUGCGUUAUUGCGAUAUUGUAUGAAAUAAUGCUUAAAAGACAAUUACAAUUUUUAUUAACUUAUGUUACAGACCUGAAAAUGUGGUACGUUGUUAGUGAUGUUUUUGAGAACGCCUACCGUGACGAAGAUUUUAGCGUGGAGCCACAGAAGCUUCUAUUUGAGAGGGUGUGGCCUCCAAAAGUGGAGCUCAUUAAUGACUACCUGAAACACCUCGCCAAGACGACUGUCUCCAAGGAAACGGAUUGUGCGUACAAGUGUUUCCGGGCAAAUGCGUGCAGGGCUUUCUCUGUACAGUGUAUAGUAAACUGGAACUGUGAAAAGUACGACUGUGAGGUUUACCGUCCAAACGCGUUUUGAUUCAUUGCCAUAUAUAAUAAACAUAUGACUUAUUAUAUUUUUACUGGUCCAAUUUUGUAGCACUGUAAUAUUAAAAAUGUUUAUAACA
rnacentral:misc_RNA from 1 species